AAGUUUAAGACAGCCUGGUGAGGCCCAGAGCCUCACCAGUCCCCCAGAAAACGGAGUAUUGUUUCCAUCCAAACCUUGCACUGAAAGGAGCCUGUCAGCAGGAAGUGACCUCGUGAGACAACUGUGGGGAGAGCAAAGGGCCGGGGAGAGAAAGGCCUCAUUCUCACUGCAAACAGGAAAAGGAAAGAGAAAAAGCAAGCUCUGUCUCCACACAAGGUUUGCUGGGCUGGCUAUGAACUGUUCCAGUACGUUCCAUCAAAUAGACGCCUUCAUAGAAUCAAGCCGAGCGCGAACGCCGUGUCUGGGGCUCCCACUCCCGGGACACACACGCGGGCUGGCUUACACAUGCUCUUGCUCUCUCGCGCUCUGGGAGAGCGCUUAUAUGGGCUUCAUGAGGCUAAGUAAUAAACACUUUGUCUUCACCCUGCUAUUUAUGGGUUGCUUGGGGCAUCCUGUGCUCUCCACUGCCCUUACCUGAACAGACGGCUCAUGCAGACCCGGAGUUUAAUAGGGACAACAGUAAAUCUGAGAGGCUGUGUGUGUCCCACGCGCUCCUGUUUUCCCAGCCACCCAUGCUAGUUGCAGAGAAAAGCCAACCUGUAUCCCUUCGUUUAUGCUCUGUGUGCCCUUCCUGGAGAGAUCCCUUCAUUCUUCAGCAAUGGAUCAAAGAACUCUGAAAACAAGAACAACCCCGACAGCUGCAAACCACGAGCCCUCACCUCCAGCAGAGGUUUUCGGGAAACUCUGGACGACCACGCGCAUGCAGAGGGCUCUCAGAGCUUCCAGGUCCUGUAAGAAGAGAUGGAGUCAUAGCUGCGCCCUGUCCACUCUCGGGCUGUCACACAAGCCUGGAGCCCAGCCAUUUCUCGGCCUUGUCUUCAUCUUGGGCUAACCGGUCGUCUCCUGCAAACAGACAGCACGGAGAAGGAUGAGUGAACUCGGCCUCUCCCCACAGAAUACAGUUCGCCAUUACAGCGCUGAUUAAAUACAGGACAUUAUCUCACCAUAAUGCCCUCCUGGCGGCGUUCCCAGGAAAAUUCUAACUAAUCAUAAAAAUAGAAAGAAAAACGCAACCUAAAAAAAAAAAAAAAAAAAAAAAAAAAAAAAAAAAAAA
rnacentral:lncRNA from 1 species